rnacentral:rRNA from 1 species
GACGGGGGGGGCAAGUGUUCUUCGGAAUGACUGGGCGUAAAGGGUGCGUAGGCGGGUCUUUAAGUCAGGGGUGAAAUCCUGGAGCUCAACUCCAGAACUGCCUUUGAUACUGAGGAUCUUGAGUUCGGGAGAGGUGAGUGGAACUGCGAGUGUAGAGGUGAAAUUCGUAGAUAUCGAGAGGAAUACCGGUGGCGAAGGCGGCCAACUGGACGAACAUUGACGCUGAGACACGAAAGCGUGGGUAGCAAACAGG